rnacentral:rRNA from 1 species
GAUGAACGCUGGCGGUAUGCUUAACACAUGCAAGUCGAACGGACUCUUCGGAGUUAGUGGCGGACGGGUGAGUAACGCGUGAGAAUCUGGCUUUGGGUUCGGGACAACCACUGGAAACGGUGGCUAAUACCGGAUGUGCCGAGAGGUAAAAGAGAAAGUGCCUGAAGAUGAGCUCGCGUCUGAUUAGCUAGUUGGUGAGGUAAAGGCUCACCAAGGCAGCGAUCAGUAGCUGGUCUGAGAGGAUGACCAGCCACACUGGGACUGAGACACGGCCCAGACUCCUACGGGGGGCCGCAGUGGGGAAUUUUACGCUAUGGGCGAACGCCUGACGGAGCAACACCGCGUGGGGGAAGAAGGCUCUUGGGGUGUAAACCUCUUUUCUUAGGAAAGAACAAAAUGACGGUACCUAAGGAAUCAGCAUCGGCUAACUCCGUG